rnacentral:rRNA from 1 species
UACGUAGGGUGCGAGCGUUGUCCGGAAUUAUUGGGCGUAAAGAGCUCGUAGGCGGUUUGUUGCGUCGGCUGUGAAAACCUGCAGCUUAACUGUGGGCUUGCGGUCGAUACGGGCAUCACUGGAGUUCGGCAGGGGAGACUGGAAUUCCUGGUGUAGCGGUGAAAUGCGCAGAUAUCAGGAGGAACACCGGUGGCGAAGGCGGGUCUCUGGGCCGAUACUGACGCUGAGGAGCGAAAGCGUGGGGAGCGAACAGG